AAACAAUAAAGCUUAAAUAAAUCACUUUAUACAUGACUUUGAUGAAGAUUAAACAAGUCACUGGAGUCUCAGUCUUACUAAAAGAUAUCUAUUGAGAUGCUACAAGAUUGGGAUGGUAUAGGUCAUUACAAGAUUGGGAUGAUAUAGGUCACUACAAGAUUGGGAUGAUAUAGGUCACUACAAGAUUGGGAUGAUAUAGGUCACUACAAGAUUGGGAUGAUAUAGGUCACUACAAGAUUGGGAUGAUAUAGGUCACUACAAGAUUGGGAUGAUAAGGCCACUACAAGAUUGGGAUGAUAAGGCCACUACAAGAUUGGGAUGAUAUAGGUCACUACAAGAUUGGGAUGGUAUAGGUCACUACAAGAUUGGGAUGAUAUAGGUCACUACAAGAUUGGGAUGAUAUAGGUCACUACAAGAUUGGGAUGAUAAGGCCACUACAAGAUUGGGAUGAUAAGGCCACUACAAGAUUGGGAUGAUAUAGGUCACUACAAGAUUGGGAUGAUAUAGGUCACUACAAGAUUAGGAUGAUAUAGGUCACUACAAGAUUGGGAUGAUAUAGGUCACUACAAGAUUGGGAUGAUAUAGGUCACUACAAGAUUGGGAUGAUAUAGGUCACUACAAGAUUGGGAUGAUAUAGGCCACUACAAGAUUGGGAUGAUAUAGGUCACUACAAGAUUGGGAUGGUAUAGGUCACUACAAGAUUGGGAUGAUAUAGGCCACUACAAGAUUGGGAUGAUAUAGGUCACUACACGAUUGGGAUGAUAUAGGUCACUACACGAUUGGGAUGGUAUAGGCCACUACAAGAUUGGGAUGAUAUAGGCCACUGCAAGAUUGGGAUGAUGUAGGCUACUACAAGAUUGGGAUGAUAUAGGUCACUACAGGAUUGGGAUGAUAUAGGCCACUACAAGAUUGGGAUGGUAUAGGUCACUACAAGAUUGGGAUGAUAUAGGUCACUACAAGAUUGGAAUGGUAUUACUAUAUAUAUAUAUAUAGCCAGCAAUACCUACACAGUAUAAAACUAAACCAGAUAUAAAGAUAUUGUAUAUAACUACUAACACAUGUAGAUUAUAAAGGUCAGUGCAGAAUUCAGUAAUUUUACUGGGAGAAGUCAGGACUCUCAUGGGAGGAGAUAGGGGUUUCCUCAAAGUUAGAUUUUUACUUGGAGCAAUUCAGGGAGAAGUCACUGGAUUUUCCUUGGAGAAAGUGUUCUUUUCCCAAGAAAAAUCAAUAAGUUUCCUUCCCUGAGAGAAAUUAACUGACAUUUUGUAGGUGCAAUCCAUGGGCUUCCUUUCCUAAGAGAGUUAAAUUCAGUAUUUUAAUAGGAGAAAUUGAUGGGCUUCCUUCCAUGAAAGAAAUGAGAGGCUUUCAUUGGUGAAAUCAAGAAUUGUUUUCAUUCAUGAGGCAGAUUAGGGACUUUUGUAGAAAUCAAUGGGCUUCCUUUCCAAGUAAAACUAGGGGAUUUUUGUGAGAGAAAUCAGUAGGUAUGUUAGUAUUUUGGGAACUGAUCAUUAUAUUGAUUGGGUGGAGGGAUGGGUGAGUGUGGGGGAUUGGGGAGCGACAUUCUUUUCUCUACCACUUUCUAGUAACUCUCUUGUUUAGAUUAGGUCAUGUUUCUCUGGCCUUGUUUCACAGCCUGUAUUUAGUGAUAUAUACAACACAACUGUUAUCAUAACCAGAAAAUAUGAUUUAUUUUAUAAGAUAUAGAGGCAUUUAUUGGAUUUGUAGUUUUCAUUACAGAUUCCUGUUGAAUUUUGGCAAUGUAGCUUAAACUAGACAAUUAUUAGUUCACUAUCAGGACUCCUAAUAUGAAGAACAAAUUAGACAGACAGCUACAAUCAGUUUUUAUACCAAUUAUGCAGCUUGUUUGAUUGAAAAGGUGAAUUGAGUCCUUGUGAAUAAUUGUAAUACUACAAAAUAUUAAUUAGUAUUCAUACAAAAGAUGAUAACCUUGGAAUUUCAAUAAAAUUGUCCAGUAACACAUUACAGCCAAUGAUAUUUUGAAGAGUAUUAAAAUUCAUUAGAAUUAUUUCAUGAUACCAUUUUCUGUCCGAGUUAAAUGUCUAUUUUGAAGUAUAAAACAUGAAACACAUGUUCUGCUUGAAAACAUUGAAAAUCAACAGGGAUCCAUUAAAGUGUCAUUAAUGAUUGAAUUAACAUAGUAAUACUUACCUACAACAGUAUGUAGUGGACAUAAACAUGUAUCUCCUGAUAAAACCAGACAAAGGUUUUUAAAUAUAUACCUGAUGGAUUCUACAUCAAAAUAUAAAUCUCAAGAUCAUGAUCUAAUGUACAUUUGUAUUAUGAUGAUGUAGUAUGUGUAUAUAACAAACUACCUUUGUCAUUGUUCAGACAUUAUGUGUGGUACUCGCACCCCUAUUCUGUAUGUAGUGUAGACUGACACAGCAUGUCCUUACUUUAUCUAGUGCUUACGUAACAAAUGGCAUGUUUUCUGGAGAAACAGGGCUUUUAUCUAUAUGUGUAUGUCAUCAAUGUUUAAAUAAUAUUAGAGUUGUGAUGCAGCAAUUAUUGUUUUACUUCUAGUAUUUACAAAAUAAUUGGUUAUCUUGUUAUAUCGGUGAUUAUUAAGGGAAAGAAUCUUUUCAGAACUUCAUAUUCUUCAGUAAAUAAAUAUCCAAGCUAAUGAUAAAAUAGCUCUUGAAAUAUGGAUAUUUGAUAUUAUUCCUGAUUUUCUGUGUGAAUUUGUGACCAGAAUGUGGUGUGACAUAUCAGGGAUACGUAGGUGUGACAGAUGUUGUUGUUUUUAGAUAUAGAGAAAACUUAACCUGGUUUGUGAUGUAUGUCUGUGAUAUAGGAAAAUGGGAGUGACAGGUAUUUUUGUGUUUUAUUAGGUCCCCUGAGACAAAGUCUCAGAUGACCUAUUGCAAUUGCCUUUUGUCCGCUGUCGUCUGUCCCAAACAAUUUACAUUUUCGACUUCUUCUCCAAAACUGCUGAACCAAAUUGAAUGAAACUUUACAGGAAGCUUCAAUGACCAAAGGUCAACCAAAGUUGUGAAUUAUAUGGUCCCCACCCCUCAGGGGCCUGAGGGGCAGGGCCAAAAAGAGUCAACUUGACUAAAAUUUCAAAAAUCUUAUUAACUCCCAGAUAUGGUGGAUUCUCUAAUACUUUUCAUAGAUAGAAAGAUCUUAAAGUCCUUUACCAAGAUUGUGAAUUUCAUUACCCUGGGGUCUCACAUUUCCCGGUGAGGAGGGGGUAAAGUUUAUUAUAGUUUAUAUAUAGAGAAAACACAUUUUUGACCAUUAUUUGUUCCAAUUGCCAUUGGAAUACGUGUGUAAUACAUACUUUGUUAGAAUUAUCAGUAUAGGAUAUCUGUUGAAUAGUAUGCUCAUAUGUGCACUGACUGACCCCCAGAGAAUAGAGGAGCAGAGCCAAAAAGGGGCAAAUUAACUGAAAUUUAAAAAAAAUAUAAACUUGCCAUCUUCUCAAGUCCCAAAUAAGGUAGAAUCAAAUAUUCUACAUAGAUGGAAGGGUCUUAAAGUCCUUUACUAAAAUUGUGAACUCAAUGACCCUGAGUUCUAGCGUUUGCCCCUGGGGAGGGGAUAAACGUUAUUAUAUAUAGGGAAAUCACAUUUGUUUGAUUUCAUUUGGAAUUCAUUCUAAGUUGGUUAACAUCAUCACCAUGGGAUGACAGCUUUAUGGUGUGCACAUGUUGGCCCUGACUGAUCCCCAGGUGCUUAUGGGUGGGGCCCAAAAGGUCAAAUGUACUGAAAUAUUUUAAAACUCAGGUGACCGAUAAGGUCCAUGGGCCUCUUGUAUAGAGACAAUUUAACCUGGUUUGUGAUGUCUGUCUGUGGUAUAGAACUGCUGGAGUGACAGGUAUUUUUGUGUUUUAUAUAGAGAAAAUUUAACCUGGUGUGUGAUGUAUGUCUGUGAUAUAUAUAUGGCAGUGACAAAUAUAACUAUGUUAUAUAGAAAACAGUUGUGUUUGUACAAGAAACAUAAUCAUAUACAAUAUACAUUGUGUGUGUGUUACAUAAAAAACAAUAAAACAAUGAUCACAAUAUA